CCUACGGGCGGCAGCAGUGAGGAAUAUUGGUCAAUGGGAGGAAUCCUGAACCAGCCAUGCCGCGUGCAGGACGACUGCUCUACGGGUUGUAAACUUCUUUUGUACCGGGGUAAAAUGCCUUACGUGUAGGGUUUUGUAAGUACGUUACGAAUAAGGAUCGGCUAACUCCGUGCCAGCAGCCGCGGUAAUACGGAGGAUACGAGCGUUAUCCGGAUUCAUUGGGUUUAAAGGGUGCGUAGGUGGAUUGUUAAGUCAGUUGUGAAAUAACGAGGCUCAACAGUGAGGUUGCCGUUGAAACUGGCGGACUAGAGAUCGGAUGAAGCAGGCGGAAUGUGUGGUGUAGCGGUGAAAUGCAUAGAUAUUACAAAGAACUCCGAUUGCGAAGGCAGCUCGCUAGGCCGGAACUGACACUGAGGCACGAAAGUGUGGGUAUCGAACAGGAUUAGAUACCCCUGUAGUC
rnacentral:rRNA from 1 species